UAGGGAAUCUUCCACAAUGGACGCAAGUCUGAUGGAGCAACGCCGCGUGAGUGAAGAAGGUUUUCGGACCGUAAAGCUCUGUUGUUGGUGAAGAAGGAUAGAGGUAGUAACUGGCCUUUAUUUGACGGUAAUCAACCAGAAAGUCACGGCUAACUACGUGCCAGCAGCCGCGGUAAUACGUAGGUGGCAAGCGUUGUCCGGAUUUAUUGGGCGUAAAGCGAGCGCAGGCGGAAGAAUAAGUCUGAUGUGAAAGCCCUCGGCUUAACCGAGGAAUUGCAUCGGAAACUGUUUUCUUGAGUGCAGAAGAGGAGAGUAGAACUCCAUGUGUAGCGGUGGAAUGCGUAGAUAUAUGGAAGAAUACCAGUGGCGAAGGCGGCUCUCUGGUCUGCAACUGACGCUGAGGCUCGAAAGCAUGGGUAGCGAACAGGAUUAGAUACCCUGGUAGUCCAUGCCGUAAACGAUGAGUGCUAAGUGUUGGGAGGCUUCCGCCUCUCAGUGCUGCAGCUAACGCAUUAAGCACUCCGCCUGGGGGAGUACGACCGCAAGGUUGAAACUC
rnacentral:rRNA from 1 species